rnacentral:rRNA from 1 species
CGCCUGUUUAUCAAAAACAUCGCCUCUUGCAUUAUUAUAAGAGGUCCAGCCUGCCCAGUGACUUUGUUCAACGGCCGCGGUAUCCUAACCGUGCGAAGGUAGCGUAAUCACUUGUUCUUUAAAUAAGGACUAGUAUGAAUGGCAUCACGAGGGUUAUACUGUCUCCUUUUCCUAAUCAAUGAAACUAAUCUCCCCGUGAAGAAGCGAGGAUAACACUAUAAGACGAGAAGACCCUAUGGAGCUUUAGAUUAAACGACACUUGUCUUAAUCAACUUAAAUUUCAGAAAAUUAAAUACACUUCUCAAGAUGAUCGUUAAUCUUAGGUUGGGGUGACCGCGGAGCACAAAAUAACCUCCAUGUUGAAUGACAUUAUUGUCUUAUUCGCGAGCAACCGCUCUAAAAACCAACAUAUUGACAUUUAUUGACCCAAUUUUUGAUCAACGAACCAAGUUACCCUAGGGAUAACAGCGCAAUCUACUUCAAGAGCCCCUAUCGACAAGUAGGUUUACGACCUCGAUGUUGGAUCAGGGUAUCCCAGUGGUGCAGCCGCUACUAAAGGUUCGUUUGUUCAACGAUUAAAACCCU